UCUCCGUAGGUGAACCUGCGGAGGGAUCAUUACCGAGUGAGCGCUCCGGCGCGACCUCCAACCCCAUGUUUUCCGACUCUGUUGCCUCGGGGGCGACCCGGUCCUCUGGGUCCGGGGCCCCCGGCGGACCACUCAACUCUGCAUCUUUGCGUCUGAGUCUUAUAUAUGAAUUAAAUCAAAACUUUCAACAACGGAUCUCUUGGUUCUGGCAUCGAUGAAGAACGCAGC
rnacentral:misc_RNA from 1 species